ACAGCACAACAAAGAUGAUCAACUUUGGAGUAGAUGUUUUGAGUUAAGUCGGGAACCAGCGGGAAACCCCAUAGAUGAGUGACGUGCGCAUGCACACAUGGUCAUGAUGGCGGACAUUUUCUGUGCUGAAAACCCCCCAAGAAAAGUUGACCAAACGUGGUCAAACGUGGCCAAAGUUGGAAGUGAACUGCAUUAUUUCGACCAUUACGGAUUUUCGCCUGGUCUGCGGUUUGAGUGUGGUGUUUGGACAUUUUGUGGACAGAAGCGGGAGUUGACGACCAUUUUGCCCCAGCAGGGGUGGAUUUCAUGCAGUGCAGAUUUCGCAAGUUCACAAGCUCAAGUCAAGAGACUCUUCUGAAACAUUUUCGCCUUCAUCACAGACAAGUGUGACGUUCCCGUCCAUCUGGAAGAUCAUUCCUACUGGAGGAAGAGGAGACCCUCUGCUCGCCA